rnacentral:SRP_RNA from 1 species
AGCCGGGUCCCGCGCAACAGAGGCUUGCAAACUCCGUCAGAUCCGGAAGGAAGCAGCGGUAGUGAGUCUAUCUGGGUGCCGCGGGGUGCCUGGCUAUC